rnacentral:lncRNA from 1 species
GUGACCUAUUCAUGUUGGUAAUGUUUCAUUAUGAGGGUUUUGGUUAAAGAAUUGUUUGUUCUAGGUGAAAGGAAAAGGAAUCGGGAGUUCAUCCAUCAAACUUUUGGAACAAAGCCCAUUGAGAAAAUAUUAUCUAUUUCAAUAGAGUGGAGACAUCUUUGAUAGAUUGGGAUGGAAUUCAUCUUCUAGUUUUAUAAUCAAGAUAUCAAAUCUUUACACUAUGCCUCCCUGGUGACGGUCUGGCUACCCUCACCCUCCUAUUGAUUUAUUGGGCGAGAUAGUGC